rnacentral:rRNA from 1 species
UACGGGGGGAGCAAGCGUUGUUCGGAUUUACUGGGCGUAAAGGGCGCGUAGGCGGCCAGCACAAGUCAGUUGUGAAAUCUCCGAGCUUAACUCGGAAAGGUCAACUGAUACUGUGCGGCUAGAGUGCGGAAGGGGGCAACUGGAAUUCUUGGUGUAGCGGUGAAAAUGCGUAGAUAUUGUGAGGAACACUAGUGGCGAAGGCGAGACUCUGGACAGUUCCUGACGCUGAGGCACGAAGGCCAGGGGAGCAAACGGGGA